rnacentral:rRNA from 1 species
AUUGAACGCUGGCGGCAUGCCUUACACAUGUAAGUCGAACGGCAGCACGGGUGCUUGCACCUGGUGGCGAGUGGCGAACGGGUGAGUAAUACAUCGGAACAUGUCCUGUAGUGGGGGAUAGCCCGGCGAAAGCCGGAUUAAUACCGCAUACGAUCCACGGAUGAAAGCGGGGGACCUUCGGGCCUCGCGCUAUAGGGUUGGCCGAUGGCUGAUUAGCUAGUUGGUGGGGUAAAGGCCUACCAAGGCGACGAUCAGUAGCUGGUCUGAGAGGACGACCAGCCACACUGGGACUGAGACACGGCCCAGACUCCUACGGGAGGCAGCAGUGGGGAAUUUUGGACAAUGGGCGAAAGCCUGAUCCAGCAAUGCCGCGUGUGUGAAGAAGGCCUUCGGGUUGUAAAGCACUUUUGUCCGGAAAGAAAUCCUUGACUCUAAUACAGUCGGGGGAUGACGGUACCGGAAGAAUAAGCACCGGCUAACUACGUG